rnacentral:rRNA from 1 species
UACGGAGGGGGCUAGCGUUGUUCGGAAUUACUGGGCGUAAAGCGCGCGUAGGCGGACCUGCAAGUCGGGGGUGAAAGCCCGAGGCUCAACCUCGGAACUGCCUUCGAUACUGCGGGUCUCGAGUCCGGGAGAGGUGAGUGGAAUUCCUAGUGUAGAGGUGAAAUUCGUAGAUAUUAGGAAGAACACCGAUGGCGAAGGCAGCUCGCUGGGACGGUACUGACGCUGAGACGCGAAAGCGUGGGGAGCGAA